AAUUCUCAAACCUCUUUGACUUUAUUGACAAAGAGGCUUUGGAUGUGGGAGUUGCUGGCUUUUACGAGUCAGCUCUCCUUAAAUACAUUAGUGGUUACUGUUCUCCACUUCCUGGUGUGAUAAUAUCUACGCCUAGUGGAGAUGUUAAGUGUAGCUGCUUUCUAACCGUCCAUGCAAUGUGGACAACUUGAACC
rnacentral:misc_RNA from 1 species